rnacentral:rRNA from 1 species
UGGGGAAUUUUGGACAAUGGGCGCAAGCCUGAUCCAGCCAUGCCGCGUGUCUGAAGAAGGCCUUCGGGUUGUAAAGGACUUUUGUCAGGGAAGAAAAGGCUGUUGCUAAUAUCGACAGCUGAUGACGGUACCUGAAGAAUAAGCACCGGCUAACUACGUGCCAGCAGCCGCGGUAAUACGUAGGGUGCGAGCGUUAAUCGGAAUUACUGGGCGUAAAGCGAGCGCAGACGGUUACUUAAGCAGGAUGUGAAAUCCCCGGGCUCAACCUGGGAACUGCGUUCUGAACUGGGUGACUAGAGUGUGUCAGAGGGAGGUAGAAUUCCACGUGUAGCAGUGAAAUGCGUAGAGAUGUGGAGGAAUACCGAUGGCGAAGGCAGCCUCCUGGGAUAACACUGACGUUCAUGCCCGAAAGCGUGGGUAGCAAACAGGAUUAGAUACCCUGGUAGUCCACGCCCUAAACGAUGUCGAUUAGCUGUUGGGCAGCUUGACUGCUUAGUAGCGAAGCUAACGCGUGAAAUCGACCGCCUGGNGGAGUACGGUCGCAAGAUUA